rnacentral:misc_RNA from 1 species
CGUAUUAAUUACUCUUCCCACGGCCAUCUAAUUAAAAAUCAGUAGGAAAAUAUGCUUUGUGCCAAAAAAAAUAACAAAGACACGUAUUCUCGCACAUUGGAGCUCGAUUCCUCGCGCGCCUGUUCUGUUCCAAAUCGUGAAGCCAGUGAUUGAAUGACACGAAGGCUUGUUUUGGUUGGUUGAUAUGUACCCUUUGCUGCUAUCUAUUUUUCUUAUCACUCCCUCAAAGCAGAGGCCAGAGAGAAUGAAGGCUCUCUUCUUCCAAUUUCCCUCUCAGAUUUCAUCGCCUGAAACUCCCAACAUUAUCCCUCAAAACAAACUCCAAAUUGUAUCCAAUCACAAACCCAAUAAUGUUUCUUGGGUUUCUUCUUUACCUUCCUCUCAAGUGAUCCUUCACAAGUCUCUUCCUCUAGCUGCUGCUCUGCUUCUCUCUGCAGGUCCAGCUAAAGCAGGACUUAUGUCUGGAUUUUCUGGCCUGGAAUCAAUCCCUGGUCCCCAGAUUCCUCAAAUUGAUUUUCUUAACCGGUUCAAUGGUUUGAUUCUGCAAUUUCCCUGUUCAAUUUCCGCUUUAUAUAUGAAAUUAGAUUCUUUUUCACCCCUUUUUAACUCUUUUAACUGUCAUGUAUUCUGUUGCAGAAGAAAACCAGAAGAAGUACGCAGAAAAUGAUGCAAGAUUCAAAUCAUCUCCCAUACUUAAGGAGCUACUAGAACGAUCCAAGAAGAACAAAGAAAAGUACUUUAAAAGUUUUUUUUUUCAUAUAAUUAUUUUGGUUAUAUGAUGCACAGACCUAGUACUUUCAAAUGUGUCUAAUUUUGAAUAUAUUGGCAAGUGAUAUUAUCUUCUAGUUUAAAGCAGAAGCAAAGUGUUACCCUGCAAUAUAAUCUUGGUUGGUUCUAUGUCAGGGAGAGGAAAAAUGAAAUAAAUUUAUCAGGAAAUGAAAUUUGUGUAAAUUAAGCGCACAUAUCUCUCAAAUCACAUAUUAGGAAAUGCUAAUUAACAUGAUGAAAUUUGCAGGAAUCGUCAAGAACUGCUAGAUAAGUACUGCAUUCGCGGGGCAGAAUGGGGUGUUGGAGAUUGUUCAACAGAUGGAAUGUCGCCUGAGGAAAGAGAGAGCUUCAUUUCUAUGCUAAAAGAGAAAGCUGGAAUCAAAUAAUUGAAGCCAGUUUUAGUAAAUACAUUUGUUAGUUUUUCUCCUAAAUUAUAUUUGAGCCGGUGGGAAAUUAUUGCGUAGAUUUGAUUAUUGUGAAUCUCAUAACAUGAUAGCAUCUACAUAU